UACGUAGGCAGCAAGCGUUGUUCGGAGUUACUGGGCGUAAAGAGCGUGUAGGCGGCUUGGUAGGUCUCGCGUCAAAACCUGAGGCUCAACCUCAGUUCGCGUGGGAAACCACCUAGCUAGAGUCCGGAAGAGGAGAACGGAAUUCCCAGUGUAGCGGUGAAAUGCGCAGAUAUUGGGAAGAACACCAGUGGCGAAGGCGGCUCACUGGCCCGGUACUGACGCUGAGGCACGAAAGCGUGGGGGAGCAAACAGGG
rnacentral:rRNA from 1 species